rnacentral:lncRNA from 1 species
AGUUCAGCACCUACCAUGCAAAGGCAUUGUGCCCUCACAGCCCAACUUCUAGCCUGGGCGGAGGGACAUGAGUGCUGUUCAGUGCGUGGGACCUCAGGUGUCUGCAGAGAGCAACUGUGAAAGAGUCAAAGCCCUGCCUUGGGGAUUGGAAUCUCAAACUUGUGGCCCCAAAGGUACCUUGGUAACUGGAUGCUCUUGUAAGAAAAAGAGGUGA